AAAACCAUUCUCAGUUCGGAUUGUAGGCUGCAACUCGCCUACAUGAAGCCGGAAUCGCUAGUAAUCGCGGAUCAGCAUGCCGCGGUGAAUACGUUCCCGGGCCUUGUACACACCGCCCGUCACACCACGAGAGUUUGUAACACCCGAAGUCGGUGAGGUAACCUUUUGGAGCCAGCCGCCGAAGGUGGGACAGAUGAUUGGGGUGAAGUCGUAACAAGGUAGCCGUAUCGGAAGGUGCGGCUGGAUCACCUCCUUUCUAAGGAA
rnacentral:rRNA from 1 species